GGGACUGGGAGGAGGGUGAUGAUCUCAAUACAACCAUACAAAAGUUAGCAGCAUAAAUCAAUUCACAUAGAAUUGCAUCAUCAUCAACCCUAUCCAUCGAUCGAUCUCGCCUCCUUCUUCACUGAACAGCAGGAAGCAAAGCAGGGUUCUCCUUCUCCUUCUUGACACCAUAGGCAUCAAACGAAGCGUCGGGAAUGCCAGGACCGAGAGAAGCGAAGCUGCUACACUUAGCGGAGCAGAGCCAAGUAGGAGAGGGAGAGGGAGAUUCAACCAGAUGAAGUGUUAUCGUCAUCGCCGUCGCUGGAGAGAAGAUCAUACUCUCUCUCCUCUCCGCCCUUGAACCAAGCAAACUUAACCGUCUCUCUUGCUGCUUCGCUCGCCAUCCUCUUGUGAUCGAAUCCAGGCGCAGUUACGAGCGUUCUUCUUCUAUGGCUAAAGCUGGAUUUCUCACUGGAUUCCUUGGUAUAGAGUCUGUCCCUGGCCCUCAAUUGCCUCAAAUUGAGGCAUCCUGAGCUGCUUUAUUAUGGUCCCAUGCGUCCAAUGCCUCUCACUGCUCUAAAUCAGCUGACAAAUUUUCCAAUGGAGCAUCCCUUUUUCAUGGUGAUGAGGAGGCCCUCUUAUGUUAAGUAUGGCUUGGGAAUACCAAAAAGGUUCGAGAGGAUGCUUUUGAGACAAUGGUGCAAUUAUUUGGCCUGUGGAAUUGGAAAAAUGUGAUGAGAUGGUUUGGCUAGCAAAGGAUUGGAAUGAAUUUGCAGAGCACUACUGUGGGGGCCAAUUUUUGGUCUUCUAAUCUGGAGGGGACUCCAUUUUCCAUGUCACUGUAAUUGAUGAAAGGAUGAUCGAGAUAGAAUAUCCAUCAAUCAAUGUCAAUGUGAGGAACCGAGCCUCAGCAAUUGUGGAAUUGUCUUGCUGAAAGUGGAAGAUGCCUUUGCUUGCUGUGAUGUUUCAGUCGAGCUUGAAGUCUAGGGGGAUGAAUUGCAUUCAGCCAAGUGUCCUCAGUGUUGCAUGGAAAUGGAAUUUGAUCAGGUUUGCAAAGUUCAUGGCGAUUCCUAUGCACAUUCAUCAGCAGAGUUUGCGGAGGGACAAAAGUUUGAACUGCUCAUCACAAGAUUUUCCAGGGUGUGAAUCUUAAUAUAUUAGCUAAUUCUCCCCUUGUGUGUGUUGUUCUUGUGUUUGAUUCGAAUACCGUACAGGAACUGUCCAUGUCAUUAGGCUAAGAGAAACUGCAUUAGAGUUAAUGCUAAGAGAAACUGUGUUAGAGCUAAUUCAUUCUCUUAGUGUUUCUUUGUCUCUAGAUCUCCCGUGUGAGCAUAUGUAUGUGUUAGGACUAAAUGUGCCGGGGAUUGCCAUGAUGUUUCGGUUGAGCUUGAAGUCUUGGGGAUGAAUUGCAUUCAGCCAAGUGUCCCCAGCUUUGUAUGGCAAUGGAAUUUGAUCAGGUUUGCAAAGAUCAUGGCAGUUCCCAUGCACAUUCGUUAGCAAAAAGUAUGGGGAGGGACAGAAGUUCAAACUGCUCAUCAUGAGAUUUUCCGGGUAAGCUGAAAAAGCGGGGCUUGUGCAGAGCUCUCAAACCGGGCAGCAAAUUUACACUCGAUUAUCCUUUCUCUGAAAUUGCAGUGAGGUUAAUACAUCUAAAGAAAAACAAUGUGAGAGUUCCUGGUUCAUUCCCAAAGACACAUUAAGAAAAGCCCGCAGACCGUGGCUCUCAUAUUUCAAGACAAAUCAUGGCCAUUGAAGCUCAUCAGCCACGAACAUCAUGGAAAGUCAUCUGCCUGUUGGGCUGCAUUCACGAGACUUCUCUGAAGGUGGAAGACGCAUGUGUUCGAGCUUUAUUGAAAGGGACGAUGUUGUGUUCAGAGUAUCCAUCUUUGGAACCACUGAUAAGACUUGAGUGUAUAAUAAUACUAUGCAAUACGAUGCAGCAAAGGAAGCAUUGCUUUUAGUUCACUUUUGGUGAGAAUCGAACAUACAGAAUUGCUAGGCUGAAUUCUGCUUCUGCUUCGGCAAAAUAGAUAAAAGCAUGAGUUUUGUUCCAAUGGAUGGAAUGGUCUUGAACGUGCUUCUAUAAGAUUUCAGGUGGCUCAACCUGACCAUUAGAAUUGUAAAUGGUAGUAACAUCGAAUACACUUCCCUUGUGCCAUACAACAAGUCUGAAUUUCAAGGCGCAACCAUGAUUUUACAA